rnacentral:tRNA from 1 species
AAUAAAGUAAGCUAAAAAAUUAAGCUAUUGGGUUCAUACCCCAAAUAUGAUUAAAUAAAUCCUUUAUUA